rnacentral:pre_miRNA from 1 species
CAGAAAGAGAGAUGUUGGAAUGGCUCAAUCAAAUCAAAUCUCUCAAGGGUUCUUGGGUCCUUUAAUCUGAUUGAGCCGUGCCAAUAUCCCUCUUAUUUAU